rnacentral:lncRNA from 1 species
GGAGGUUGUAGCUGUUUUGUUAGUUCCACUGGACGGUGUGGUUGAUCCAGGAGGUCCCAGGAGGCCAAAGAGAAGCAACAACAGGAACCAGAAGGCACAAGAGAACUUUCUUCUCUUCAUCUUGAUAAAAUUACCUGGGAGAAUGCCUGGGUUCCGAAGGAAGGAUGGCUGCAGAGGAGAGACAGGACCAGAUGCCUAGGGUCUCCGAAUGAGAGAGAGUGAUGUCACCAAGAUGGCAACAGAGAAGGUUUCUGAGCUCCCCUCCUCCCACAGACUCACUGAAUGUACAACUAUGCAUGGGCUGAUUUCCAGAAACUGGAUGGGUGACUCCUACACAUUGG